GACCUGGUACAGUGGUCCGCCUUCACGGUGUGUACUGCUGGACCGGGUUCUACCUCUUGGUGAGCCGGCAUGCCCUUCACUGGGUGUGUCGGGGAACCAGGACUUUUACCUUGAGAAAAUUAGAGUGUUCAAAGCAGGCCUACGCCCGAAUACAUUAGCAUGGCAUAAUAAAAUAGGACGUGCGGUUCUAUUUUGUUGGUUUCUAGAGUCGCCGUA
rnacentral:rRNA from 1 species